rnacentral:rRNA from 1 species
CACGGAGGGAGCUAGCGUUGUUCGGAAUUACUGGGCGUAAAGCGCGCGUAGGCGGCUUUGUAAGUUAGAGGUGAAAGCCCGGGGCUCAACCCCGGAACUGCCUUUAAGACUGCAUCGCUUGAAUCCAGGAGAGGUGAGUGGAAUUCCGAGUGUAGAGGUGAAAUUCGUAGAUAUUCGGAAGAACACCAGUGGCGAAGGCGGCUCACUGGACUGGUAUUGACGCUGAUGUGCGAAAGCGUGGGGAGCAAACAGG